rnacentral:rRNA from 1 species
GAUGAACGCUAGCGGGAGGCUUAACACAUGCAAGUCGAGGGGCAGCAUAAUGUAGCAAUACGUUGAUGGCGACCGGCGCACGGGUGAGUAACGCGUAUGCAACCUACCCUGUACAGGGGGAUAGCCCGGAGAAAUUCGGAUUAAUACCCCAUAAAGAUAUUUUGAGGCAUCUUGAAAUAUUUAAAGUUCCGGCGGUACGGGAUGGGCAUGCGUAACAUUAGCUAGUUGGUAAGGUAACGGCUUACCAAGGCUACGAUGUUUAGGGGUCCUGAGAGGGUGAUCCCCCACACUGGUACUGAGACACGGACCAGACUCCUACGGGUGGCUG